GACGAACGCUGGCGGCGUGCUUAACACAUGCAAGUCGAACGGAAAGGCCAUGCUUUUGUGGGGUGCUCGAGUGGCGAACGGGUGAGUAACAAGUGAGUAACCUGCCCUUGACUUUGGGAUAACUUCAGGAAAAUGGGGCUAAUACCGGAUAGGAGCUCCUGCAGAAUGGAGGGGGUUGGAAAGUUUCGGCGGGUGGGGAUGGAUUCGCGGCUUAUCAGCUUGUUGGUGGGGUAGUGGCUUACCAAGGAUUUGAGGGGUAGACGGCCUGUGAGGGUGACCGGGCACAUUAGUACUGAGAUACGGCGCAGACUCCUACAUUGGACAGCAGUCGGAAGUAUUGCACAGUCGUCCGAAGCCUGAUACAGCGGCGCCGCGGUUGUGAUGACGUCCUUCGGGUUGUAAACCGCUUUCGCCUGUUACGAAGCGUGAGUGACGGUACUGGGUGAAGAAGCACCGGCUAACUACGUG
rnacentral:rRNA from 1 species